rnacentral:rRNA from 1 species
AUUGAACGCUGGCGGCAUGCCUCACACAUGCAAGUCGAACGAGUGGCGGACGGGUGAGUAAUGUCUGGGAAACUGCCUGAUGGAGGGGGAUAACUACUGGAAACGGUAGCUAAUACCGCAUACCAUCAGAUGUGCCCCGAUGGGAUUAGCUGUUUGGUGGGGUAAUGGCUCACCUAGGCGAAGAUCCCUAGCUGGUCUGAGAGGAUGAACAGCCACACUGGAACUGAGACACGGUCCAGACUCCUACGGGAGGCAGCAGUGGGGAAUAUUGCACAAUGGGCGCAAGCCUGAUGCAGCCAUGCCGCGUGUUGGAAGAAGGCCUUCGGGUUGUAAAGCACUUUCAGCGAGGAGGCGUUACUCGCAGAAGAAGCACCGGCUAACUCCGUGCCAGCCGCCGCGGUAAUUC